rnacentral:rRNA from 1 species
UACGUAGGGGGCAAGCGUUGUCCGGAUUUAUUGGGCGUAAAGAGCGUGUAGGCGGCCAGACAAGUCUGCUGUGAAAACUCGAGGCUCAACCUCGAGACGUCGGUUGAAACCGUAUGGCUAGAGUCCGGAAGAGGAGAGUGGAAUUCCCGGUGUAGCGGUGAAAUGCGCAGAUAUCGGGAAGAACACCCGUGGCGAAGGCGGCUCUCUGGGACGGUACUGACGCUGAGACGCGAAAGCGUGGGGAGCGAACAGG